rnacentral:rRNA from 1 species
AGUGAACGCUGGCGGAAUGCUUUACACAUGCAAGUCGAACGGCAGCACGGUGGCAGCCCUGGUUGCGAGUGGCGAACUGGUGAGUAAUUCAUCGGAACGUGCCCGGUCGUGGUGGAUAACGUAGCGAAAGUUACGCUAAUACCGCAUACGAUCUUAGGAUGAACGCGGGGGACCUUCGGGCCUCGCGCCAUCGCACCGGCCGAUGUCCGAUUAGCUAGUUGGUGGGGUAAAGGCCUACCAACCCGACGAUCUGUAGCUGGUCUGAGAGGACGACCAGCCACACUGGGACUGAGACACGGCCCAGACUCCUACGGGAGGCAGCAGUGGGGAAUUUUGGACAAUGGGCGCAAGCCUGAUCCAGCCAUUCCGCGUGCAGGAAGAAGGCCUUCGGGUUGUAAACUGCUUUUGUACGGAACGAAAAGGAUCUGGCUAAUACCUGGGGCUCAUGACGGUACCGAAAGAAUAAGCACCGGCUAACUACGUG